UAACCAGAUACAGGACAGCUAUUAAAGGUGACCAGAUGCAGGACAACUAUAAAAGGUAACCAGAUACAGGACAGCUAUUAAAUGCUAACCAGAUACAGGACAACUAUUAAAAUGCUAAGCAGAUACAGGACAGCUAUUAAAAGGCUAACCAGAUACAGGACAACUAUUAAAAUGCUAAGCAGAUACAGGACAGCUAUUAAAAGGCUAACCAGAUACAGGACAGCUAUUAAAAGGCUAACCAGAUACAUGACAGCUAUUAAAGGCUAACCAGAUACAGGACAGCUAUUAAAGGCUAAGCAGAUACAGGACAGCUAUUAAAGGCUAAGCAGAUACAGGACAGCUAUUAAAGGCUAAGCAGAUACAGGACAGCUAUUAAAAGGCUAAGCAGAUACAGGACAGCUAUUAAAAGGCAAACCAGAUACAGGACAGCUAUUAAAGGCUAACCAGAUACAGGACAGCUAUUAAAGGCUAACCAGAUACAGGACAGCUAUUAAAGGCUAACCAGAUACAGGACAGCUAUUAAAGGCUAACCAGAUACAGGACAGCUAUUAAAGGCUAACCAGAUACAGGACAGCUAUUAAAGGCUAACCAGAUACAGGACAGCUAUUAAAAGGCUAACCAGAUACAGGACAGCUAUUAAAAGGCUAACCAGAUACAGGACAGCUAUUAAAGGCUAACCAGAUACAGGACAGCUAUUAAAUGCUAACCAGAUACAGGACAGCUAUUAAAGGCUAACCAGAUACAGGACAGCUAUUAAAGGCUAACCAGAUACAGGACAGCUAUUAAAGGCUAACCAGAUACAGGACAACUAUAAAAGGCUAACCAGAUACAGGACAACUAUAAAAGGUAACCAGAUACAGGACAACUAUAAAAGGUAACCAGAUACAGGACAACUAUAAAAGGCUAACCAGAUACAGGACAACUAUAAAAGGCUAACCAGAUACAGGACAACUAUAAAAGGCUAACCAGAUACAGGACAACUAUAAAAGGCUAACCAGAUACAGGACAACUAUAAAAGGCUAACCAGAUACAGGACAACUAUAAAAGGCUAACCAGAUACAGGACAACUAUAAAAGGCUAACCAGAUACAGGACAACUAUAAAAGGUAACCAGAUACAGGACAACUAUAAAAGGUAACCAGAUACAGGACAACUAUAAAAGGCUAACCAGAUACAGGACAACUAUAAAAGGCUAACCAGAUACAGGACAACUAUAAAAGGCUAACCAGAUACAGGACAACUAUAAAAGGCUAACCAGAUACAGGACAACUAUAAAAGGCUAACCAGAUACAGGACAACUAUAAAAGGCUAACCAGAUACAGGACAACUAUAAAAAGUAACCAGAUACAGGACAACUAU